GAUGAACGCUGGCGGCGUGCCUAAUACAUGCAAGUCGAGCGAACAGACGAGGAGCUUGCUCCUCUGACGUUAGCGGCGGACGGGUGAGUAACACGUGGAUAACCUACCUAUAAGACUGGGAUAACUUCGGGAAACCGGAGCUAAUACCGGAUAAUAUAUUGAACCGCAUGGUUCAAUAGUGAAAGACGGUUUUGCUGUCACUUAUAGAUGGAUCCGCGCCGCAUUAGCUAGUUGGUAAUGUAACGGCUUACCAAGGCAACGAUGCGUAGCCGACCUGAGAGAGUGAUCGGCCACCCUGGAACUGAGACACGGUCCAGACUCCUACGGGAGGCAGCAGUAGGGUAUCUUCCGCAAUGGGCGAAAGCCUGACGGAGCAACGCCGCGUGAGUGAUGAAGGUCUUCGGAUCGUAAAACUCUGUUAUUAGGGAAGAACAAAUGUGUAAGUAACUAUGCACGUCUUGACGGUACCUAAUCAGAAAGCCACGGCUAACUACGUG
rnacentral:rRNA from 1 species